AAGCACUUGAUACUAACCAAGCCAUCUGUGCCUUAGUUCUCAUUUAGAGUUCAAAGGUGAAACUAGUGAUGGCUGGGUCUAAAAAGUGCAACAUCAAAAUUAAGCCAUGAAGUGAUUAAGCUCCAUGUGUGGAGAAUCACAUCGGGUUAUAACUCAGAGGCACAAAU
rnacentral:snoRNA from 1 species